rnacentral:lncRNA from 1 species
UGUGAUUUUUAUCCAGUCUGACUCAUGAGAUUGUACAUUCCUUUUGAGUAGGGAUUAUUCACAUAAAUUGCUUUGCUUCUUUUUUAGAAUUUAGCAGAAGGAGCUGCAGACAUUGGAUUCACACAGCAAUAAAGGGAGUCUCCAAAGUAAACCUGAACAGAGUUCUCUCUCCAUCUGUCAGAGGAAAAGCCCAAGAGCGUGUUUUGCCUACAGAAGGACAAGGCUCUCAGCUGGCUCCAGAAAGGCAUUCUGCCUGUGCAGAUAUGCAGGAUAAGGAAAAACAGCCUUUUUUUUUUUUUUUUUUUUUUUUUUUUUGGUUAAUGACAAUAAAAUGUGGGGUUUUUAAAAACGAAAAUGACAUUGCAGUUUUAAAUCCUUAGUUUUUACAUUACCUUUUCCAUCAAGCUCAAAAUGGUUUACAAUACACAUGCG